CAUCGUGGCUCAGUGGUUAACGAAUCCGACUAGGAACCAUGAGGUUUCGGGUACGAUCCCUGGCCUUGCUCAGGGGGUUAAGGAUCCGGUGUUGCCGUGAGCUGUGGUGUAGCUUGCAGACACAGCUUGGAUCCCGUGUUGCUAUGGCUCUGGUGUAGGCUGGCGGCUACAGCUCUGAUUCAACCCCCUAGCCUGGGAACCUCCAUGUACCUUGGGAAUGGCCCCAGAAAUGGUGAAAAAAAAAAAAAAAAAAAAAAGAAUACCUCUUUAAAUAUAGAAUGUUAAGCUUUAGAUGGCUGGAAAAGAGGAGGGGAAAGCACAAGCUGAAAGGGCUCCCCACUUACCAUAGGGGCAUGACCCAUAAGUACCCAUUUGAAGGACAGGCAGAUUUGGGUGGAAAGGGUCCCGGAUGAGUGAGGUGUAUUGGAUCCCACAGUCUGCCCACCUCUGUUCACAACGGAGGGAGCCCAACAUGCUAGUUUAUAUUAUGCAUCUGGAUAAGAGUGUAUUCGUGUUUUGUCUUUCUGACAAAUGGCAUAAAAUUACCUAAAUCUCACUCUAGGAGAGAAGUCAGCUACCAUCGCUUUCCUUCUGGUAGGGAAUUGAAGGUGUGUAAGGGGAGAGUGAGGUUUAUAGACUAAAGAAGGGACCCUCAUGACAGCAUUUGAUUGUUGAGUGAGCCACUGGGAAGGUGGGGGAGGCUUUUGUUUGUUUCUUUCUUUCUUUCUUUCUUUCUUUUUAGGGCUGCACCCAUCGCAUAUAGAGGUUCCCAGGCUAGAGGUUGAAUGGGAGCUACAGCUGCCAGCCUACACCACAGCCACAGCAACACUGGAUCCAAGCUGCAUCUGCGACCUAUACCACAGCUCAUGGCAAUGCUAGAUCCUUAACCCACUGAGCAAGACCAGGAAUCAAACCCUCGUCCUCAUGGAUGCUAGUUGGGUUUGUUACUGCUGAGCCACAAUGGGAACUCUCCGGGGGAGGUUCUCUGAUUGACUUUCAAGUAGAACUGUCAGUCUUUGAUGGGUUCAAUAUCUACUGGUACAUACUAAGGAGAUUUCCAGGCCGAGGAGGGUCAUAGUGGUUUCCUGUUUCAACUAGAAAGAUAUCUGGUCUUCAGCUUCAGGGUCAGAACCUUGCAUAAGCAUUUCUUCCAUUCGCUAAAUAUUACAAUAGAAAUGUAGUCCAAAUCAAUGUUUUAUAUGUAUUUACAGCUAUUUGUAUAAAUCCAUCACAUUGAAGACAGAUUAAGACUUGUCAUCAAUUUCCUUAGGGGAGAAUGAAAGUGAAAAGGAGAAAUACAAGCAUUGGAUGAAUGCUGCGCUGGGCACUGGAUUGUGAGCUGAUACCAGUGGAGGCUGAGAAUCACUCACUCUUGCUGUGACUAUCUGUACGGCAAAUUGUCUUUAAAGAUUUCUUGUCUUUGGAAACAGUGUCCACUGAGUAGGGAAUGACAAAAAUUAUGUUGUAGGAAAGAGGAACCAAAGCCCCUGCUAAGAGCCCGACUUGGUCAGACACCAGAUGGCCCCAGGAUGCCUUUGUUUGGCAGCAGCACUGCUGAUUCCCAGAUCCCCAGAGGCACCAGUUUCCGAAAGUAAUGCAAAUCACUGGAAGCUUGGCCAUGUAGAAGCGUGAGAACUGGAUGAAACAGGAAGAUCUGGAUUCUGCAACGUGCUGGCCAAGAAAAUCGAAGGCCUCUCAGCAAGAAACAAUUGGAAAACAAACUAGUUGGAACUCGCUCACAUAAGGACAUACGUUCAUGUUCAAAUGCAAACACACACAGACAGGGAUAAAUGCCAUCGAAGGAAAAGAAACAUGAGGUAUUCCAUAAGGCAAACUGACUACUAAUCAAAAUUUAACUCUGAGGAGUUCCCGUUGUGGCUCAGUAAGUUAGGGACCUGACAUAGCAUCUGUGAGGAUUCAGAUCUGAUCUCCAGCUUCUCUCAUUGGGUUAAGGAUCCAGGGUUUCUGUGAGCUGCAGUGUAGGUGGCAGAUGCAGCUCAGAUCUGGUGUUGCUAUGGCCUCAGCUGCAGCUCUAGUUUGACUCCUGGGCCAGGAACUUGCUAUGCUGCAGGUGCAACUAUAAAAAGAAAAACAAAUUUCACUUUGAGACCAAAAAUACCUUUGGGCAACAGUUGGUGAGCAAAUUCCCUGUUAAUGAGAGUCCAAGGAGCCCAAUGUCAGGCUGUUUUAAAGGGCUCCCCUGUGCUCAAGUAUCUUAGGUAAAUAUGGGGCCGGCCAGGUAAAAGUGCUUUGUAAGUCAAAUUAGAGGGUGGUUGAUAGGAAUGUAGAAGGAAGUCAGAACUGAAGAUGUUUCUGGCCAGAGAGUUUGAUUCAUUAAAAGAACACUAAUAGCAACAUAAACUCAUGUGCCUUUACACACACAAAAAUAAUGUUUCCUGAUUCGUAACCCAUGUGGCUGAGAGGGUCUCUUCUUUGUGUUAAGAAGCUAGAAAAGCUCACUUGAGAUCAUCUUAAUGUUCACUUAAUUAAUAAUUGAGAUCCUAUUAAUCCAGAAAAGAGCCAUUUGAGGAUUUUUGCAGACAUUGCAGGUAUGGACUAGGGCUCUGUGUAUCUUCUCACAAUAUUGGAGGAUUUUAUGUGUACAAAGGCCUACUAGGAAUCUUCCGCCCUUGCCUCCUUCUCCCUCACACACCUACAGCUCUGCUUUCCCAAGUAAAAUAUUGUAGCACUAUCAUGCUUUACAGAUUAUACCUUACAUAUUCGGUAAUUAAAUAUGAAAAGUAGGGAGUUCCUGCUGUGGCUCAGUGGUAACAAACCCAACUAGUGUCCAUGAGGAUGCAGGUUUGAUCCCUGGCCUUGCUCAGUGGGGUUAAGGAUCUGGUGUUGCUGCAAGCUGAGGCAUAGGUAGCAGACACAGCUCAGAUCUGGCGCUGCUGUGGCGUAGGCCGGCAGGCAGCUACAACUCUGAUUCAACCCCUAGCCUGGGAAUUUCCAUACGCCACAGGAGCAGCCAUAAGAAGGAAAAACAAAAAAUCUGUGUUAAGACCUCAGGAAGUUUUAAGGUGUUGCUUCAUAGACCCUUUCAAGCAUACAAAGACCUGCAAACUAUAAGCUCAGACAGUAGCUUUGCAGAGACUAAGGCAGAGAAGGGCUAAAUGAGAUUUGUGGGUAUGGUUUUGCCUAAUGGAGUGGGUCAUAAAUUGAUUCUUAAGAAGCCUGCAAUGUUUUUUCCUUAAAGAACUAUGAUGAACUUAAAUCAUAAGGGACAUCAGGCCUUCGAAUUCCCAAAGGGCAGGAAGCAGUCUAAGAGAGCAACUCAGCUGCAAAGAUGGGCUACUUUUAGUGGAAAAGGAAAAGUGCCCAAAGGGUAGACUCAAGAGCAGAUAUGGUGAAUGACUUCCAAGAAACAGAACUGAGUCCUCAUCAGGGAACUGGCAGCACACACUCAGGAGGAUUGCAGAACUGCUGUGAGCCAGGGACUACUCUGGGCUCCCCACUUUUCUCCCUUUUGAGCCUAAGUGUCUAUACCUUGACCCACUGCUGUAUUUUGGGUAUGGUGGGGAGAUGGCUUGUCUCUUGAGUCACAGGUGUUCAGAUUGGGUGGAGCUACCCUAGGGGAUAGUAGCCAGGGAGCCUCAGCCACAUGCUACCAUAGGAUCUGGAAGCAUGGAUCGAUGUCGGGAGACAUGUUUCUACAAUAUUUUCUUAGCCACUCUGUUUCUAUUUUCUUUGCUAAAACCUCCAUCUUGUCCUGCCUUACUUUACCCCAUCUUCCUGCUGGAAAAACAGUCACAGUGCUGGUAAAUAAAUUAAGCUUAAGAACAAAGACCUAAAGGCAUAAGUUAUUCUUAGGGUCAGCUGAAUGAGGACAGGGAUGCCGGACCUGUGCAGAUGGGCACGCCUGUGCAGAUGGGCAGGGCGUCUGCACAACAUAUGUCCUAUCAAAAUAAGAGAAAGAGGAACCUCAUGGCCCCAAGUGGUUUAUGAAUGGUCAUUAGCAGAAUAUGCAUCAGCAAGGAGAACCAAGGUGCAAACCUAGGCACCCCAGGUUGCCGCAGAUAGACAUGCCCUUUGUGGAAGCACAAUGGUGAUUCUUGAGAUGCUAUGCACAGAUAGCCAAGCUUCCCCAAAUGCUAAUGAUUGUUAAAUGCCUAAAGGUCAGAAUAAAAGCUUAAUCAUCUACCAGCUGUGUGACUUCUAAAAUAAUAAAAGAACUUCUAAAAUAAUACAAAAAACUAUAUCCUACACCUAUAACCCCCUCCUCACUUGACGUCAUCCUAAAGAGCACAGUAAAAGCAGUGUGGUUUCUUGAGGCAGCACUCUUGGUCCCUGAGACCUUGAGUCCCCCAGUUCCCACCUUUACUUAAGAUAAAUGUCUCUGUAUCUUGUUUUAUGUUAACUUUUCCUUAAGUUUCACGGCACCCGUUCUUCCGCCCUCACCUGCUGAGCUGUCUCGGCAGAUGGAGAGGAGGGGGAGUGAGUAUAUCUUACAUGUAGGGGGAAAUGCAAAGAAUUCAUGUCCCAUGGGCCACCUGUGAAGUCUUAAAACAUGCCUGUGAAUUCGUUGAUGUUCUUCCCAACAAAAGAUAGAGCCCAAUUCCCCUUCCCUUGAAAGGGGCUUGCUUCUAACAAAUAGAAUAUGGCAGAAGGGAUCCUGUUUGACUUCUCAGACAAGCUCACAAAAGGGGAGGCAGUUUUGCCUUGUUUCUUUUCUCUUGCCAGGUUUGCUUUGGAAUCCACUGACCCCUGUGGGAGGUGGGCCAGCAGCCACCAGGGAGGGCAGGGUGGAGGUGUUCUGGCCACAGUCCAGCUGCGGUCCCAGCCCAGGGCCACUCUUACCCGGCAACCUGUGAGUAGGAAGGUGAGUUUUCAGAUGUGGUCCCAGCGCAGAGAUGCCACGGGGAGCAAAGACAAACUGUCCUUGCCAACCCCAGCCAAAUUAUAAAUUCAUGAGGAAAAUGAAUGUAAUCAUUGAUUUAAGGCACUACUUUUUGGAGUGGUUUGUUAUGUGGCAACAGAUUAACUGGAUGUUGAUGUGCAAAUACCUGCUAGAAAUAUCCCCAUAUGCAAAUGCAACCUUGUAACAGUCACAAGAUUUUAGGCAUUAUAAAUUAUAAUUUCUUUAUGGUUCCCAGAUUUAUCACUUACUAAUUGUGGGACCUUUAGUAAGUCAGUCUCUUGAACUUCAGCGUCUGCAACUAUAAAAUGGAGAUGAAAGUACUUGUCUUAAAAAAAAUGAUUUAUGUUGUGAGAUAACGGAUGUUAGCUAAAAAAAAGUCAUUUAUGAAUAUUAUCUAGCAACGAGCAAAAGGAUGAUGUAUUGGAUUCACAUGAUUACAAAGAUAAAAAUGUACAGAAAUAGAUGGAUUAGGUUAGUGGAAUUAAAAAUAUUUUUUUCCUUCUAUUUUCCAGAUUUCCUUAAAAUGAUUUACUUUAGUAAUAAAAAAUUAAAAAGUGUUCCCCAAAAUCCCAUUGCACACUCCCAGCCCAAACCCAGGGAAUAAGUCAAUGGUUAUUUCUUCUCAGUCUCCCUGCAGGUUAAACCAGGUAAAUGGUUUGGAAGAGAAACAGUGAUGAAACAGCUUCCUAUCUCUUGGAAUCUGGGGGUCAAUACAGGAUUGACCCCAGAACCCAGAUUACUUGCCUCCCCAGCUAGCACACUAUUUCUUCCACCUGUAACCUCACAGUACUAGUUUUCACCUGUAUAGGCUAAGCCACACGAAAUGCCUUUAUUUAAAUAACUGGAAGUCUCAGCCAUCUGAUCUUAGGAGGCAUAUAAUCCAGUGAUUAGCAGAGUCAGUCAAAAUGCAUGCAUUGGAAACCUGCCUCCAGCACGUAUUAUCUGGGGUUUUUGUAGAUGUGAAUAAUGAUACUGGGGGGAGAUCAUCCUGGAUUACAAGGGUGGACCCUCUAUCCAAAGACACAGACACACGCAGGUCAGGGGAAGAGAGAAGUUAUGUAGCCACAAACCAGGCAAAGUCUGGAGCCACAGAAGCAGGGAGAAGUGGGAACGGAGUCUCUCUUAGAUCCCAGAGGAAGGACAGCCCUGAGGACAACUUCUAGCCCUCUGAACUGCGAUAAUACAUUUCUGUUGUUUUAAGACACCAAGUUUGUGAUGAUUCAUUAUGGCAGCCCUACGAAUAUAAUGCAGUGGAAGAAUCUUGCAAAUCACAAGGAUGAAGGGAAAAAAUUCAAAUGACAAGAAAAAAACCAUUUAAAGCUUUAAAAACAUGUAAUGGAUACUUUGUAUUAUUUAUAGAUAUAUACAUAUUGACAAAAAGCAUAAAGAAAAUGGGAGGGAAUUCCCUGGUGGUCUCAUGGUUAGGAUUUGGUGCUUUCACCACUGCAGCCUAGGUUCAAUCCCCAGUCUGGGAACUGAGAUCCCACACCAACCCACUACACACUGUGG
rnacentral:tRNA from 1 species